rnacentral:rRNA from 1 species
UACGGAGGGUGCAAGCGUUAUCCGGAUUCAUUGGGUUUAAAGGGUGCGUAGGCGGGAUAGCAAGUCAGUGGUGAAAGCCUACAGCUUAACUGUAGAAUUGCCAUUGAUACUGUUAUCCUUGAGUUCAGUUGAGGUAGCUGGAAUCCGUGGUGUAGCGGUGAAAUGCUUAGAUAUCACGCAGAACACCGAUUGCGAAGGCAGGUUACUAAACUGCAACUGACGCUGAGGCGCGAAAGCGUGGGGAGCAAACAGG